rnacentral:rRNA from 1 species
AUUGAACGCUGGCGGCAGGCUUAACACAUGCAAGUCGAGCGAGCGGCGGACGGGUGAGUAAUGUCUGGGAAAAUGCCUGACGGAGGGGGAUAACUACUGGAAACGGUAGCAAAUACCGCAUAACAUCAGAUGUGCCCAGAUGGGAUUAGCUAGUAGGUAGGGUAAUGGCUCACCUAGGCGACGAUCCCUAGCUGGUCUGCGAGGAUGACCAGCCACGCUGGUACAUAGACACGGUCCAGACUCCUACGGGAGGCAGCAGUGGGGAAUAUUGCCCAAUGGGCGCAAGCCUGAUGCAGCCAUGCCGCGUGUGUGAAGAAGGCCUUCGGGUUGUAAAGCACUUUCAGCGAGGAGGCGUUACUCGCAGAAGAAGCACCGGCUAACUCCGUGCCAGCCGCCGCGGUAAUUC